rnacentral:rRNA from 1 species
CAAGCGGUGGAGCAUGUGGUUUAAUUCGAUGCAACGCGAAGAACCUUACCUACUCUUGACAUCCAGCGAACUUAGCAGAGAUGCUUUGGUGCCUUCGGGAACGCUGAGACAGGUGCUGCAUGGCUGUCGUCAGCUCGUGUUGUGAAAUGUUGGGUUAAGUCCCGCAACGAGCGCAACCCUUAUCCUUUGUUGCCAGCGAUACGGUCGGGGACUCAAAGGAGACUGCCGGUGAUAAACCGGAGGAAGGUGGGGAUGACGUCAAGUCAUCAUGGCCCUUACGAGUAGGGCUACACACGUGCUACAAUGGCGCAUACAAAGAGAAGCGACCUCGCGAGAGCAAGCGGACCUCAUAAAGUGCGUCGUAGUCCGGAUCGGAGUCUGCAACUCGACUCCGUGAAGUCGGAAUCGCUAGUAAUCGUGGAUCAGAAUGCCACGGUGAAUACGUUCCCGGGCCUUGUACACACC